rnacentral:rRNA from 4 species
UUGACCUCGAAUCAGGUAGGAA